rnacentral:rRNA from 1 species
UACAGAGGGUGGCAAGCGUUGUUCGGAUUCACUGGGCGUACAGGGAGCGUAGGCGGUUGGGUAAGCCCUCCGUGAAAUCUCCGGGCCUAACCCGGAAAGUGCAGAGGGGACUGCUCGGCUUGAGGACGGGAGAGGAGCGUGGAAUUCCCGGUGUAGCGGUGAAAUGCGUAGAGAUCGGGAGGAAGGCCGGUGGCGAAGGCGGCGCUCUGGAACGUUUCUGACGCUGAGGCUCGAAAGCGUGGGGAGCAAA